UUGGUUUUCUAUUGGUUUUCUCUAUUGGUUUUCUAUUGGUUUUCUCUAUUGGUUUUCUCUAUUGGUUUUCUAUUGGUUUUCUAUUGGUUUUCUCUAUUGGUUUUCUAUUGGUUUUCUCUAUUGGUUUUCUCUAUUGGUUUUCUAUUGGUUUUCUCUAUUGGUUUUCUCUAUUGUUUUUCUAUUGGUUUUCUCUAUUGGUUUUCUAUUGGUUUUCUCUAUUGGUUUUCUCUAUUGGUUUUCUUUAUUGGUUUUCUCUAUUGGUUUUCUAUUGGUUUUCUCUAUUGGUUUUCUAUUGGUUUUCUCUAUUGGUUUUCUCUAUUGGUUUUCUAUUGGUUUUCUCUAUUGGUUUUCUCUAUUGGUUUUCUAUUGGUUUUCUCUAUUGGUUUUCUAUUGGUUUUCUCUAUUGGUUUUCUAUUGGUUUUCUCUAUUGGUUUUCUAUUGGUUUUCUCUAUUGGUUUUCUAUUGGUUUUCUCUAUUGGUUUUCUAUUGGUUUUCUCUAUUGGUUUUCUCUAUUGGUUUUCUCUAUUGGUUUUCUCACCAAGCUUAUUAUUUUCAAUACGCUCACACACACUCAAAAUACACACUCGCACUCAAAUACACAUUACAACAAAAGUGCUUUAAAUUAGGACCAUAUUGAAAGCAACAUACAUGUUUACUGAUAAUAUUCCAAAAUGAUAACCAAGAUUAUAUUGUAGCAGUGUA